GCCAGCGUAGCUCAGUGGUAAGAGCGAGGCCCUCAUAAAGCCUAGGCCGUUGGUUCAAUUCCAACCGCUGGCA
rfam:Candidatus Curtissbacteria bacterium RIFCSPHIGHO2_12_FTLL_38_9b rifcsphigho2_12_scaffold_24963, whole genome shotgun sequence.